rnacentral:tRNA from 2 species
AGCGGGGUAGGGUAGCCAGGAGUGCCCGCUGGGCUCAUAACCCGGAGAUCGUAGGUUCAAAUCCUGCCCCCGCUA